rnacentral:tRNA from 1 species
UCCCUUGUGGUCCAGUGGUUAGGAUUCGGUGCUUUCACUGCUGGGGGCCAGGUUCAAUCCCUGGUGGGGGAA